rnacentral:rRNA from 1 species
CUCAAAUUUGAAAUCUGGCUUUCGGGCCCGAGUUGUAAUUUGUAGAAGAUGCUUUGGGUGUGGCUCCGGUCUAAGUUCCUUGGAACAGGACGUCAUAGAGGGUGAGAAUCCCGUAUGUGACUGGCCGCCUUCGCCCGUGUAAAGCUCUUUCGACGAGUCGAGUUGUUUGGGAAUGCAGCUCAAAAUGGGUGGUAUAUUUCAUCUAAAGCUAAAUAUUGGCCAGAGACCGAUAGCGCACAAGUAGAGUGAUCGAAAGAUGAAAAGCACUUUGGAAAGAGAGUUAAACAGUACGUGAAAUUGUUGAAAGGGAAGCGCUUGCAACCAGACUUGCAGGCUGUUGAUCAUCCGGGGUUCUCCCCGGUGCACUCGGCAGUUUUCAGGCCAGCAUCGGUUUGAGUGGUGGGAUAAAGGCCUUGGGAAUGUGGCUCUCUUCGGGGAGUGUUAUAGCCCAAGGUGCAAUGCCGCCUACUUGGACCGAGGACCGCGCUUCGGCUAGGAUGCUGGCGUAAUGGUUGUAAGCGACCCGUCUUGAAACACGGACCAAGGAGUCUAACAUCUAUGCGAGUGUUUGGGUGUCAAACCCAUACGCGUAAUUAACGUGAACGGAGGUAAGAACCUUAAGGGUGCAUUAUCGACCGAUCCUGAUGUCUUCGGAUGGAUUUGAGUAAGAGCAUAGCUGUUGGGACCCGAAAGAUGGUGAACUAUGCCUGAAUAGGGUGAAGCCAGAGGAAACUCUGGUGGAGGCUCGCAGCGGUUCUGACGUGCAAAUCGAUCGUCAAAUUUGGGUAUA